rnacentral:lncRNA from 1 species
AAUGUCAUCAGAGGAUAAGACUGUGGAGCCCUCUGACCAGGGACCCUCGCUGCCCUCUGUUAGUGCAGGGGCCACGUCCACAGGAAGCCCUGCCCAGACAGACAAGCGCCCCAGGGGCAGACCACGCAAGGAUGCUACCACCACCAUCGUACCCCAGGCUCUACCCACAACUACAUCCAAGACCAGGAAGAAGGGGCGUACCAGAGGUAGAGUGGUUGUGGAGGAGGAGGACAGCAGCAUGGACGGGACAGAGGCAGCCCGCGUCAGAGAGCCCCCCUCAGGACACAACAGAUACACCAGCCCAGCAGCCUGUGGAGAGUGUGGAGGUGGGUGCCACUGAAGGACCAGGGGAGGGGGAAGAGAAGCCCUCUUCUCCCCAGGUCCAGAGCCCUCAGACUAGUGAAGCAGCUGAGCUUUCUGGUCCUAUCACCAACAGAGGAGUUAAAAGCAGGUCAGUCUGAGAGUUCCAUCACAGCAAGUUUGGCUAUGAGGGGUGGAUCUGUGUUUAUGUACGGUGUAUAUUGAUUAAUGUGAUACUUUUGGUCAUGUAGUGUAUGUGGACACCUGCUUGUCGAACAUCUCAUUCCAAAAUCAUGGGCAAUUAGUGCAUUCGGAAAGUAUUCAGACCCCUUCACUUUUUCCACAUUUUGUUACAUUAUAGCCUUAUUCUUAAAUUUAUAAAAUAUUUUUUUCCCCUCAUCAAUCUACACACAAACCCUUAAUGACAAAGCGAAAAAAACAAACAGGCUUUUAGACAUUUUUGCAAGUUUUAUUACAAAUAAAAACCAGAAAUACCGUAUUUACAUAAGUAUUCAGACCCUUUGCUAUGAGACUCGGAAUUGAGCUUAGGCUCAUCCUGGUUCCAUUAAUCAUCCUUGAGAUGUUUCUACAACUUGGUUGGAGUCCACCUGUGGUAAAUUCAACUGAUUGGACAGGAUUUGGAAAGGCACACACCUGUCUAUAUAAGGUCCCACAUUUGACAGUGCAUGUCAGAGCAAAAACCAAGCCAUGAAGUUGAAGGAAUUGUCCGCAGAGCUCCGAGACGAGAGGAUUGUGUCGAGGCACAGAACUGGGGAAGGGUACCAAAAACAUUCUGCAGCAUUGAAGGUCCCCAAGAACACAGUGGCCUCCAUCAUUCUCAAACUAAAGAGGUUUGGAACCACCAACACUCUUCCUAGAGCUGGCCGCCCAGGCCAAACAGAUUAAUCAGGGGAGAAUGGCCUUGAUCAGGGAGGUGACCAAGAACCCGAUAAUAG